UGGGGAAUAUUGCACAAUGGGCGAAAGCCUGAUGCAGCAACGCCGCGUGAGUGAUGAAGGUCUUCGGAUUGUAAAGCUCUGUCUUUUGGGACGAUAAUGACGGUACCAAAGGAGGAAGCCACGGCUAACUACGUGCCAGCAGCCGCGGUAAUACGUAGGUGGCGAGCGUUGUCCGGAUUUACUGGGCGUAAAGGGUGCGUAGGCGGAUGUUUAAGUGAGAUGUGAAAUACCCGGGCUUAACUUGGGUGCUGCAUUUCAAACUGGGUAUCUAGAGUGCAGGAGAGGAGAAUGGAAUUCCUAGUGUAGCGGUGAAAUGCGUAGAGAUUAGGAAGAACACCAGUGGCGAAGGCGAUUCUCUGGACUGUAACUGACGCUGAGGCACGAAAGCGUGGGUAGCAAACAGGAUUAGAUACCCUGGUAG
rnacentral:rRNA from 1 species